AAGGGAUUUUUUCAAUUCAUCGGCCUCAGAUUGGUAGGACUACCCGCUGAACUUAAGCAUAUCAAUAAGCGGAGGAAAAGAAACUAACAAGGAUUCCCCUAGUAACGGCGAGUGAAGAGGGAAGAGCCCAAGAUUGAAAGCUGGCGUCUUCGGCGUCCGCAUUGUAAUCUCAAGAAGUGUUUUCCGCUUCGGACCAUGCCUAAGUCCCUUGGAAAAGGGCAUCAUAGAGGGUGAUAAUCCCGUACAUGGCAUGGAGCGCCCGAAGCUUUGUGAUACGCUUUCUAAGAGUCGAGUUGUUUGGGAAUGCAGCUCAAAAUGGGUGGUAAAUGCCAUCUAAGGCUAAAUAUUGGGGAGAGACCGAUAGCGAACAAGUACAGUGAUGGAAAGAUGAAAAGAACUUUGAAAAGAGAGUUAAACAGUACGUGAAAUUGCCAAAAGGGAAGGGUAGGAGGUCAGAGAUGCGGCCUAGGAUUCAGCCUUGCUUUUGCUUGGUGUUUUUCCUAGAUUGCAGGCCAACGUCGGUUUUGGGCACUGGAGAAUGGUGGAAGGAAUGUGGCACCUCUCGGGGUGUGUUA
rnacentral:rRNA from 1 species